rnacentral:rRNA from 1 species
AGCGAACGCUGGCGGCAGGCUUAACACAUGCAAGUCGAGCGGGCCCUUCGGGGUCAGCGGCGGACGGGUGAGUAACGCGUGGGAACGUGCCUUCUGGUCUGGAAUAACCCUGGGAAACUAGGGCUAAUACCGGAUACGCCCUUUUGGGGAAAGGUUUACUGCCGGAAGAUCGGCCCGCGUCUGAUUAGCUAGUUGGUGGGGUAACGGCCUACCAAGGCGACGAUCAGUAGCUGGUCUGAGAGGAUGAUCAGCCACACUGGGACUGAGACACGGCCCAGACUCCUACGGGAGGCAGCAGUGGGGAAUAUUGGACAAUGGGCGCAGGCCUGAUCCAGCCAUGCCGCGUGAGUGAUGAAGGCCUUAGGGUUGUAAAGCUCUUUUAUCCGGGACGAUAAUGACGGUACCGGAGGAAUAAGCCCCGGCUAACUUCGUG